AAUUUCUCUCCCAUGCAUAGUAUCCCUUCCUUAAUCACAACUGAUCUUCCUAACAUUUCUCUCCCAUGCAUAGUAUCCCUUCCUUAAUCACAACUGAUCUUCCUAACAUUUCUCUCCCAUGCAUAGUAUCCGUUCCUUAAUCACAACUGAUCUUCCUAACAUUUGUCUCCCAUGCAUAGUAUCCGUUCCUUAAUCACAACUGAUCUGCCUAACAUUUCUCUCCCAUGCAUAGUAUCCCUUCCUUAAUCACAACUGAUCUUCCUAACAUUCUAGGCAUCUCUAUAUAAUUACUAUUCACUGCCUAGUCCCACACUUCCCAACAUUUCAAAUGGACAAAGAGG